CGCGUCAGCCUCUCUCCUCCGGGAGAGGCAGGGAGUGUGACGCCCAUUUUACCAGCGGGCAAACUGAGGCUUAGGGAUGCUGGGUGAUUUGCCCGAGGACGCACACAGAGGGAAGGGCCAAGCCGGGAUUCCAACUCGGGACUCCCCGCUUCUGGGGAGACCGGUGAGGCCCCCGCGACAUGGCCCUCCCAUCCCCAAGCCUCUCGUGCAGAUCUCCGCUCUGUGGGACUUGAUUGCGGGCUGCGGGCCCGUGGCUCCUGCAGGCAGAGAGAGGACGGGAGAGGAGACGGCUACGAGGCUUGGAGAAUGAGAAGGCAGAUCAAAGUUACAGAUGCUGCGAGAACAUCACCAAGCAGAAUCUUGGGUGCUGUCCCCACCUCUCUGUACCUGCUCCCUCCCAGAGAAGCCAGCCUCCACUUGCUGUCCCGGGCCUUCUCUAUCUGAAAAAAGUUGAAGGAGCACAUGUCCUUGCGCAGGAAGAGGCUGUUCAGCGUGACCGCCCCGAUCAAGAAGAAGAGCUGCUUCACCGCCUGCCUCACAAGCUCGGGGUCCAGGCCGUUCUGGCACAUGGUGGUGUAAAAGUAGCUCAGCUGUUGCAGGACGGAGGUCAUGGUGUAGCCGUCCGUGUCGUCUAUGCUGGAGGAGCGCUUCCGGAAGCCUGUGGGCUUCAGGCCGGAAAUGCCCUGCAGGCUCUCAUACUCCAGCAUUCCCGGAACUGCGGAGAGACAGGGAGGCUGUGCUGACACGCGAGGAGACACACGCAGAACGUUCCCGACGCUCUUCGGUUUGUUUCAGGAGAUGGGACAUUUUUCUACAAGAGUCAGUGGAUGUACUUAUGAUAGAGAAAGCAAAAGAAUCAAGGGUUUGGGACACCAGGGUGUGUGUCAGGGUUAGGGAUGGAC
rnacentral:lncRNA from 1 species